CAGGUACAUCUGAAUGAUGAGGUGAUCUGUGAACUGAUCUGGACUGAACUGAUGGUAGUCCAGGUACAAACUGGUUUAGGGAUGAACUUCAAAUUCCUUCACUCCGAAUUGUAGAUUCAUGCACCUGAGGAUGAAAUGUCCAUGCAGGGUGACUUCUCCCAAGGUACUUAGUGUCUACAGGAAUAAAAAAUCUGCAUAUGAAUUAUCAGGACAACCCUUAUCUUCAGAGACUACUAACAUUCAAGGAUGCAGUAUCCCUAAAGUUGGUCUGAUCCAGAUGGUUGGGUCACUGUGUCCUGUGUAAACCAUUUGGGAGAGACAGGAUCAUACCAUUUUUAUCAGGAAGCCCUGCAGAUAUGGGAGAGGAUAAUAUCUCAAGAUGUUGCUAGCAGACACUUAAUUGGCAUGAAUGCAACACAGUAAACAGGCUAAGCUGAUUGGUUGUCAAUACACUCAAGUUGUUCUUGAAUCAGGGGUAGUGGACCUGAACUUUUCAAUAUUGAUUCACCCCGAGAGAGAAGCUUUGAGCUAACUACUGACGUUGUGCACUAAGCUAUGGGAAGAAACUACUGAAUGAUUGAGGAGAGCGGGAAGAGGAGAAGGACAAUGGCAGAGAAGAGACAGCUAUUCAUGGAUAUGAGGGCUCAGAAUUUUGAUGUUAUCAGACUUUCAACAUAUCGGACUGCCUGCAAGCUGAGAUUUGUGCAGAAAAGAUGUAAUCUUCAUCUUGUUGAUAUCUGGAAUAUGAUUGAAGCCUUCCGAGACAAUGGCCUUAAUACAUUGGAUCACAACACAGAGAUCAGUGUUUCUCGACUGGAAACAAUCAUUUCAUCCAUCUACUACCAGCUAAAUAAACGCCUUCCUUCGACUCACCAGAUCAGUGUGGAGCAAUCCAUCAGCCUUCUCCUCAACUUUAUGAUAGCAGCAUAUGACAGUGAGGGCCAUGGGAAGUUGACAGUGUUUUCAGUUAAAGCUAUGUUAGCAACCAUGUGUGGUGGGAAAAUACAAGACAAACUAAGAUAUAUUUUCUCCCAAAUGUCAGAUUCCAAUGGAUUGAUGAUAUUUACAAAGUUUGAUCAGUUUUUGAGAGAAGUUUUAAAACUUCCAACAGCUGUAUUUGAAGGGCCUUCUUUUGGAUACACAGAACAUUCCGUACGGACAUGUUUCCCACAACAAAAAAAGAUAAUGCUAAAUAUGUUUUUAGACACAUUGAUGAUUGAUCCACCCCCUCAGUGCCUUGUGUGGCUACCUCUCAUGCACAGACUUGCACAUGUUGAAAAUGUCUUCCAUCCUGUGGAAUGUUCAUACUGUCGGUGUGAGAGCAUGAUGGGUUUCCGGUACCGAUGCCAGCAGUGCCACAACUACCAGCUCUGCCAAAACUGUUUUUGGCGUGGCCAUGCAAAUGGCCCUCAUAGCAACCAACAUCAGAUGAAGGAGCAUUCCUCAUGGAAAUCGCCUGCCAAGAAGCUGAGCCACGCAAUUAGUAAAUCUCUUGGUUGUGUGCCCACUAGAGAACCACCUCAUCCUGUAUUUCCUGAACAGCCAGAGAAGCCACUUGAUCUUGCUCAUAUAGUUCCUCCUCGACCUCUGACAAACAUGAAUGACACCAUGGUUACCCAUAUGUCCUCCGGAGCACCCACUCCGACGAAAAGGUUGCAGUACAGACUGGACACUGCCAAUCGUUUAGCUGAUGAGCAUGCACUGAUAGCAACAUAUGUGAGCCGGCUACAGAAUGGUACACGUGUCCUGGACAGCCCUAGCAGACUUGAUGAGGAGCACAGACUUAUUGCCCGAUAUGCUGCCAGGCUGGCUGCGGAAGCUGGAAAUGCACCACGCCCACCAACAGACCUGGGUUUCAAUUUUGAUGCCAAUAAACAACAAAGACAGCUGAUAGCCGAACUGGAAAACAAAAACAGAGAGAUACUGCAAGAAAUUCAGCGCCUCAGACUGGAGCAUGAACAAGCCUCCCAGCCAACCCCAGAGAAAGCUCAGCAGAACCCAACUUUGCUGGCAGAACUCAGGCUUCUACGGCAGAGAAAGGAUGAACUAGAACAGAGAAUGUCUGCACUUCAAGAGAGCAGAAGGGAACUGAUGGUGCAGCUUGAAGGGCUAAUGAAACUGCUCAAGGAAGAAGAACAAAAGCAGGCAGCUCAAGCAGCAAGCUCCCCACACUCCUCACCUACCCAUGGAGCCAGUCGCCCAAUGCCGAUGCCUUUCAGAGCCACUUCCGCUGGCUCUACCCCAACUCAUGUACCUCAGGACUCACUUGUGGGAGUCGGGGGAGAUGUGCAGGAAGCUUUUGCACAAGGUACACGAAGAAACCUCCAUAAUGAUUUAUUGGUAGCAGCUGAUUCAAUUACAAAUACAAUGUCUUCUUUGGUGAAGGAACUUCAUUCAGAUGCCCUGGUUGCUGCUGAACAGUACACUCACCAGUCCAAACCUUGUGUCUCGGCUGCAGAGGCAGCUGUGGAGUUAAUAAAGUUCUGCAUGUAUUACAGCAGCAAUCACUAGUGCUGUUAUAGUUCUUCUUCGAGUGAUGUCCCUGUAGGUGCUUCACGUCAGGUGAUUGUGCGCCCCUGCACCUCUAGUCGGAGAAUUUCGAGAGCAGUGUCCAGUUGGGCCCCACGUGCGCGCUCCCCGUCUCGCGCCUCUAGCGGCAGUUAAACUAGCACUGUGCGGCCAACACCCCCCUCAGUUCCUUCUCAUCCACUCUUGGUCCAAGUCGGGGCUCCGGCAGUGCCUCUACACGAUUUACCUCAGAUCUGGAUUUAGGAUUAACUGUAUAGUAGAAGAUAGGAAACAAGUUAUAACUAACUACUCUACCCCUUUUCUUCCUUCUCAUUUAAAAAUAUAAAUAAAAACAUAUUAUUUUAUGUUAUGUUUCGUUCAUCCCUUUCUGGGAUAACUCCACCUGCGACUGCCCAGGUCCCUGGGUUUUAAAUGUGGCCUCUCCUGCCGAGAGGCAGUCACCGUUUCGGACGGACAUUCCCAGUGUGUCCUCUGCUUGGGGGAAACGCACAUACCCUGGAAGUACUUCCAUUGCCACAACCUUAAGGCCCAUGCCAGGAAAGUGAGGGACCUUAAAUUCAAACUUAUUCUUAUGGAGAAAUCUCUCAGCCCAGACUCAGACUCAGGACCACAAACUCUUCCCAGUCAUCAGUUGCCUAUAAUCGCCAACUAUGAGACCUUGUUGGCAAAAUACAACCACACCAAUUAUUCGAAACUGUCUGAAUUUAUUGACUUUAUACCAGAAGACAAGAAGGAGCAAUUUAGGUCAGUCAUCGCUGAAGGCCACCUCCUGGCACAAACAGCUCUCCAGGUAUCAUUAGACUCGGCACUCACAGCAGCGAGAUCCAUUGCAACCACCAUAGUGAUGCAAUGGGCCUCUUGGUUCCAUCUGUCUGGAUUCCCAAGGGAGGUACAAUCCAUUGAGGGGAACUCCCCUUUGAAGGUCCAAAAUAGUUUGCGGGUAAGACUGAUGAGUCCCUCCAUACAUUGAAGGACUCUAGCGCAACUCUUCGAUCUUUAGGUAUCUAGAUAAUACUUAGUCCGACCAUGAGUGCAGGGGACUAGACUAGAAGACUUCUCGAGGUCCCUUCCGAUCCUAUGAUUCUAUGAUUCUGUACACCUGCACAAAAAUGGAAACAAGGCGGAUAUUACUCAGAACAACGUUCAAGACUGGCACACCUACACACAACCCAGAGGCAGAGACAAAGACCCACAAGACAUAGGCCAACCCCAUCUCAACCUUCCAUGUUGCAACAACUGGCAUCAAAUUUGAAGGUUUGGUUGAGGGCUCAACAGACCUCCCCCAGUUCCAGUUGCUGAAACCACUUUCCAUGAACCAUCCAUUUACAAAAUGUUUAACACCAUUCUACCCAGCAGAGUGAAUUAUUAUUUCAGACAAGUGGGUACUGGAAAUUAUCAACACUGGCUAUUCCAUCCAGUUCACCUCCAUUCCCCUUACCCACCCUCUCUCCCUAUCCCUCUGGAGGGACUCCUCUCAUGAGCACCUUCUGAGACAGGAAGUAGACCAUCUCCUGCAAUUGGGUCUGGUAGAACCACUACUGGUACAACAAAGAGGGAAGGGGUUUUAUUCUCUUUAUUUUUUAACCCAGAAGAAGACUGGGGGUUGGAGGCCCAUUCUCCACCUGAGAAACCUUAACAAGUUUGUCAGAAUAAUGGUUCAGGAUGGUCACUUUAGCAACAAUAAUUUCAGCACUGUUUUUUUGCCUUCGACCUGCAAGAUGUACCCAGAAAGAUAAUGGAGCAAAUAAUUGAGCCAUCGAUUUGCAAACAUCUAGAGGAUAAUAAGAUGAUAAGUAGCAGUCAGCAUGGAUUAGUCAAGAACAAAUCAUGUCAAACCAACCUGAUAGCUUUCUUUGACAGGGUAACAAGCCUUGUGGAUGGGAGAAAGUGGUAGACGUGGUAUAUCUUAACUUUAGAAAGGCUUUUGAUACUAUCUCACAUGACUUUCUCAAAAACAAACUAGGAAAUGCAACCUAGAUGGAGCUACUAUAAGGUGGGUGCAAAGCUGGUUGGAAAACUGUUCCCAGAGAGUAGUUAUCAGUGGUUCACAGUCAUGCUGGAAGGGCAUAAUGAGUGGGGGUCCAAAGGGAUCAGUUUUGGGUCCGGUUCUGUUCAAUAUCUUCCUCAGUGAUUUAGAUAAUGGUAUAGAGAGUACACUUCUAAAGUUUGCGGACUAUACCAAGCUAGGAGGGGUUGCAAGUGCUUUGGAGGAUAGGAUGAAAAUUCAAAAUGAUCUGGACAAACUGGAGAAAUGGUCAGAAGUAAAUAGAAUGAAAUUCAAUAAGGACAAAUGCAAAGUACUCCAUUUAGGAAGGAACAAUCAGUUGCACACAUACAGAGCAGGCUUGGGACCGGGAUCCAGAGGCGACACCUUCCUCCUCAGAUGGGAUGCACCUCUUCUUUACACUUUCCCUCCUACCCCGUUGUUGUCCAGGGUCAUACAAAAGAUCAAGACCAACCAAUGCAGGGUCAUCCUGAUAGCCCCCAAAAGGCCAAGACAAACUUGGUUUCCAUACCUACAGCAGAGGUCAGAAUGUUCUAUGUCCUCCCACUUGUCCUCCCACUUCUUCCACACCUCCUAUCACAAGAUGCAGGCCAGAUCUUCCACUUGAACCUGAAGAUACUCCCACCUGAGAGCAUGGCUUCCUUGCUCAGAAGCGGUGAAGGAUAUCUUGCUAAACAGCAGAUGAUUGACUACACAUUUGACCUACCCCCACAAGAACAAACGAAUCAGAGCCACCACCUCCGUUCUACCGCUAUCCCUAGACGAUAUAUUUCAGCUAAAAAAUAUCAGCUCUUUCAACGAGCUCACUCAGAGUACACCUUGCAGCGAUCACAACCUUUCACCAUAAAGUGGAUGGGUUCUCAGUCUUUGCCCAUCCAAUUACAAAAUGAUUCCUACAAGAUGUCUGGAAACUCUAUCCCGAACUCAGAGUCCCAAUGCCUCCAUGGGAUCUUAAUCUAGUACUUCAUUCCCUUACUGGACCUCUGUUCAAACCCUUUGUUACAUGUUCUCUAAUACACCUUUCAAUGAAAAUAGCCUUCCUUGUCGCCCUUCUGGCAUACCCCCCUUACACAAUCUUUUUCAAGAACAAGGUCAUUCUAAGACCACAUCCCAAGUUUCUACCUAAACUACCCUCUUUGUUCCACCUAAACCAACCUAUCCAUCUUCCUGCAUUCUUCCCUAAACCUCAGAAGUGGCAUUCCAUACUCUGGAUGUCAGAAGGGCACAAGGCUUUUAUCUCGAAUGGACAAAACCAUUUAGGAAGGCACCAAAGCUGUUUCUUUCUACUACGGAGAGAUCUAAAGGAGACGCUAUAUCUAAGCAGAGACUCUCCAGAUGGAUUUCACAGUGCAUUUAUCUCUGCUACCGCCAACAUGAACUGCAACACCCACUGAGGGUUAGAACACAUUCUACCAGUUUGCUGUCCACAUUGGUAGCCUUCCUUAAGAAUGUACCUGUUACAGACAUAUGUAAAGCAUCCACUUGGGCAUAAGCCCAUACAAUAGAACCUCAGAGUUACAAACACCGGAGUUACGAACUGACCAGUCAACCACACACCUCAUUUGGAACAGGAAGUACACAAUCAGGCAGCAGCAGAGACCUCAAAAAAAUGCGACUACAGUGUAGUACUGUGUUACAUGUAAACCACUAAAAAUAUAAAGGGAAAGCAGCAUUUUUCUUCUGCAUAGUAAAGUUUCAAAGCUGUAUGAAGGCAAUGUUCAGCGGCAAACUUUUUAAAGAACCACCAUAACAUUUUGUUCAGCGUUAUGAACAACCUCCAUUCCCAAGGUGUUUGUAACUGUGAGGCUCUACUGUAACAUUCCUUCAGCACUACGCGAUUGAGCAGGACUCAACAUCCGACGCUUUAUUAGGACACACGGUCUUAUCACCGAUCACAGACCCAACUCUGAAGCCCCUCCUUUCCACUGAGGGGCACUGUUCUACAGCCACUUGAAGUGGAGCACCCACAGGGACAUCACUUGAAGAAGAAGAAGGUUACUCAUAUUGCACAGUAACUGAGGUUCUUUAAGAUGUGCGCCGUUUGUGGCUGCUCCACUACCCACCCUCCUCCACUGUACUUUGGAGUUCUAGUAAGGUCCUCUGUGGUAGAGAAGGAACUGACGGGGGGUUAGCCGCAAAGCCCUAGUUAAUCGUUGCUACAGGCGUGAGACAGGGAGAGAGCAUGUGCAGCACAACCAGGUAGUGCUGUUGAAAUUCUCCGACUAGAGGUGCAGGGGCGCACAAUCACCUGAAGUGGAGCACCCACAGGGACACACAUCUCGAAGAACCUCAGUUACUGCACAAGCAGAGGAAGUAGGUGAAGAAGAAGAGGAAAAGAUGCAGAAUGGCAAGGACAGAGGUUAGAUGGAAGAACCCAGACUGUACAGUAAUUCAAGCACAGAGGGUUAUGAAGCGAGCUCAUGUUCUAACGAAGUCUCCACAUCCUUUGGAAGAGGCAUGUUUCAACUGAUACAUACACCAUUGUGCAACUGUGAAAGAUCACAACCAACCACCUGCUGAAAGGGAAGGGAAAGCAGCUUUCUUUUAACUGACUGAAGCGCUUUCCCUCUGGGCAUUUUCCUCUUAGAUUAUUGCAUGUACUAUUUUCAUAGGUGUUUGCCAAUGCUAAUCGGACAAUGCCCCAUCAAAAAUUCAACAAAGUGUUUUUAUGGAAGGUUUCAAAAGAAAACUGUUCUCUUGUAAAGUGCACUGAUCUCUUCUGAUUUCCUACCCGAGCAGUGUCAUCUCAUCAUGCGCUGGUGGUUUCACUCAUGACCUUUGAUCUUGGAUGUGCAUGUAAAAUGGAUUUUAAACCGUUUGAGUUUUCCUGUGUGUAAUACAAAGGGAACUCUGAGUACAAAUCCUUUAAAAACACACACUUUCUAAAAAUACCACUCUGUCUAUUAAUGUUUGGUUGCCAUAGUGUUUGAUACUGCAUGUCAUUCUGAGAGUAAAUGACAGGGCAUGCCAAGAGUAGAGGAAUGCAGAGCAAGGAGAGGGGAAUGGCUGUAAUUAGGACCAUAAAACUUGGAUGAGAUGCCUCCUGGGGAUUCCCAACUCUGUGUAUUUUUCGUUUAGACUCUGUUAAAAAUUACUUGAAUGGUUCUUGGCAAGCAAGGGAAUUCAGGGAUGACCACUGCUAGGUUCAGAUUAGUGCCUGCACAUUCAUUUGCAAGAAGCAAGUAUAUUUUUAUUUAAAUUUAAGGAGAAAUAACAACAUUGUGUAGUUGGAGGUUUGAAACUCACUACUACCUGGAUCCUUGCUAGACUCUAGUUUUGUAGCUACUUAGAAAACAUUGUAAUCAGUUCCAAUCACUAGUGAUUUUAUUUUAUUUUACUUUUUUCUUGGUGCUUAGGAAUGUUAUUUUUAGCAGAAGAGCUGAGUGCCCUAAUGCAUCUAUAAAUAUUUAUCAAGGGCGAUGAAUGGAAUGGAGUGAUAAACCCUGAAACCAACUCCCAGCUUUUCUCCCUGUCUCAUCCGAGAUGCAAUGCUGGUUCUGGGAGGAAAGUGCUCGUUAGGUACCUAUAACUCUUUGGGGGAGAGAAAAUAAACAUACAUGGUGGCCACAGGUUUAGUCAAAUAUAAAUAUUGUGAAUGAGCUGUCAAGAAGGAAAGAAAAGUGAGUUAGCUUUAGCCUGCCAAACACCACACACUUGGAAGGGUUCGUAGCUGUCUUUGUACGCUUUCAGUAUGAUUAGCUGAAUCGUUACCCAGACAUUACUCUGAUUGCGGCUAUACAGAUGCAAGAAAGGGAUGUGUGUGCUGGAAUUUUAAAGGAUGAAAGUUUUGCUAGUGGCCUGCUCAAGGACCUGCCGGUAUAGACAGGAGGCCAUCGGGGCUUAGAGACAUUCUGACUGUGGCUUCAUCGUAUCUUCACUGUGGACCCUCUUUUUUGUCCUUGAUUUUCAUGCACUUCUUCCCCUACUUACCACCUUGAUGCCGAAGGUCAGAUUAGUAAAAUGCUGGCAUCUGAUAAGGGGGGAAGGGAUAGCUCAGUGGUUUGAGCAUUGGUCUGCUAAACCCAGGGUUGUGAGCUCAAUCCUUGAGAGGGCCAUUUAGGGAUCUGGGGCAAAAAUUGGGGAUUGGUCCUGCUUUGAGCAGGGGGUUAGACUAGAUGACUUGCUGAGGUCCCUUCCAACCCUGAUAUUCUAUGAUUCUAAGUUUCCAUUGCUCCAACUGUGAAUGGACCAGCAACAGCAUCAAGUACCUGGGAUCACUCUGUCACACCCACCAAGCCUGCUUUCAGACAGGCAAAGGUCCUCUUGACAUUUAACUUCAAUAACCACUGCCAAAGCUGUGUGCGGAAAUCUUUGUGGAAGGAAAUAUGAAUUGUGAACUAGAAUAGGCCUUGGUGGAUGCUGAAGAUAAGCUGGAAAUAGGCAGUAUGUGGUACAGUAAGUCUGGGAGAGGAGUAGGUGAAAGUUUUUGCCUUUAGGAUGUUCCAAAUGAAAACAUAUGUUUUUCUCCCCUAAAUGAGAAAUCUGGGUCAGAGUUACAGUGGAAGGGGAGACGCUGUACAUCAGCCAGUGACUAUGAUUUACAGCUUUUCUAGACAGACAAGGUGGGUGAGGGGAUAUCUUUUAUUGGACCGACUUCUGUUGGUGAGAGAGAAGCUUUCAAGCUAGUGCCACACCCACCAUGUCUAAUAUCCUGGGACCGACAUGGCUACAACAACAGUGCAUAAUGCAGCUUUUCUGCCACAUGAUUACAGCAUGAAAGCAAGGUGCAUGGACAAACCAAAUAGCUGCUCGUCCUUUUUUUAAGUUUUUCCUUUUUAUUCAUUUUCCACCGCCUCACUUUUUUUGCCACCAUUAGUCUAAUAUUUAGAGGCUGAAACUUCCACUCUAGCUGGUAGUUUUUGCAGCUCUUGGAGGUGAAUACACUUCUCCCUACAAGAAAGGGACUAUCUGUCCCUAUAGGCUGUCUACACUGUAACAGAUCUACAUGACAGUGGUUAAAACAGCAGUGGUUGCCACCACCUUAUCUACACUGGGGCUCUCACCAGUAGAGUUGAACUAGUGGUAACUGUGGUGGGAAAUAUCCUAGUACAGAUAAGGCCCUAGUGUGUGCAAGCUGGGAGAUGAGGUAACUAUAGUAUGAUGAUGGUGAUGCUACAUAUCUAUAGCACCCUCCAUCCCGAAGGACAGUCAGGGUGCUUUGAUCACAGGUUGCAGAUAGCGAGAGGUUAUGAUAACCCCCCUUCAGUGGAAUAGCGAUUGAGCAGCACAGAGCAGCACCACCAGGACCAAAGGCACUUCCUUAGUUUUGUUGUUUGCUGCCUACUAUAAAAGGAGGAGCAUUUCCUCUAUCAAAGUUCCAGGAAGCUAAUUUCACUUGCCCACAGACAUUACAAUACAAUGAUCACGUCUUAGCCUGUUGUAAGCUCAGCUAAGGAACCUGUGACAGCAUUUUCUGUAUCAGACGAUUAGAGAGUUGGCUUACUCUUCUCUUUACACUGAACUCUGUGAUUGAAUAGGCAAGCUCCACUGUGCAGUGAAACACGUCAUUUCUGCAGAAAGCUGUGGCAUCUGCUUUUUGUUCGUAUAACUCUUGACAGGAUCAAUGGGCUUUUACAGCCAGAGACAGUGCAUAGUCUGUGUAUAUUAAUUGUGACCCUGUGUGCCAUGCUUCUGGAUUACCUCACCCACAGUGCCAUAUAUUUUAGUCUACAAAGCAUUCAGCAAAUGCUUCAUAUUAUUGUAAUGAGGGGGUCUGCAGGUUGAUUUUCAGUUAUACUGUAAGCCUGUCUUACAUGAUGUGAUACCGAGAGGAUGGCAUUGGUUUACCUGACCACCUCUUGCACAGAAGCCAUUUGUAUGUCACUCUCAUGCUAGAGUAGCUGGGAAAAUGUGGCUUUUUUCCCCAAGCACCUUACAAUUUUAAUUCUCCCUCAAGUAGGAAUGGUGAACUGGGGAAUUAAGUGUCAGGAAGCAGAGCACCAAUGGGUCAUUUACAAACUCCAAGGCCAUUUCCCCAUGUGUGAUCAUUAAGGCCUAAACUUCAGUUACAUUUGUCCUCAUUAACCUGGUACACUCCCGGGAGCUUCACUGCCAUUUGUGCUGAGUCCGGAACAAGGUUUGCAUCCAGCCUUAUCCUGUUGCCGUAGUGCUGCUAGGGAGCACUAGCCAGCAAUUCCUAAAGAGAACCUGGCGAGGAGGCUGCAGAGCAACCUUGUGAUAUUGCCAGUUGUCAUGACCUGUCACACAGGAAUGUCUCUGAGGGGACCUAGAGCUCUGCGUCCUGCUCAUUGGUACUCAGACCUUUGGUGAGCCCUCCUAGCGACCUUCCAGCCACUUUGCUCUCCCUUCACUCUGCCGUGGAGAUGAGACUGCUCCAAAUGCCCAUCUCCUGAUGGCAUGAGCAGCUCAGGGGAAGGAGGAAGCUUUGAAUGUGACUAAAUGGGUACCGUUGCCCAGAGCUUUUGGGAACCCCUGCAGCAUGUCAUCAUGAGAGAACUUAUGUCAGGACUUGUGUGCAUGGCAAGUUACUAGGCGGCAGGCCAGGGUGUGAAUCUUCAGCACACCAGCUUGCCACACUCAGGGACAUGGCUUCAGCGCAGUGAAAGUCCCUGUGCUGGAGUAGCGCCCACACUGGACGUUGCUGUGCGGCAAGCUGGAGUGCGGUAGAUUCACCCGGUGGCUUGCCAUGCAGUAACUCGCUGGGUAGACGAGCCCUUGGUGAGCACAGCAUAAUUCCUGUGUGAUGUGCCAUGACACCUGGGAUAGCUCUGCACUCCCCAAUGCAGAGCACUUGCUGUGGUGACAUGACAUGCCGUUAUGUGGAAGAAAAUAACUCACACAUGCUAACGUUGGAAACUCUGCUUAUAAACUAUGGUUUGCCUUGCAGUAACUGCCUUAACGCCCCUGGGAUCAACCUUCCAGGCCAGGCUUUAAUAUAUUUUACAGGGCUGUCUUCUCUGGCCUUGCUUUACCCCACGCUAGUCACACAUGCCCGCACGCUUUACUAAGUCGGUUUCUAACAUGUCAGCGAAAACAGCACUGUCCUACCCAUCUGUGCUAGUCCUCACUGGACUCAAAAUUUAACCUUUGGAGACUCGGUGACAUUCUUCUCUGCUACACCAGAUCGACUCCAUCCAGGUCAGUGGAGUAGUAGCCAUGUAAUAGAGCUAAUUCUGAUCCUGUGUGUAAUAUAGAGACCCUAUAGAACUCUAGCAGGCCACACAGAUGCGGCAUUGAUACUGAUGUAAUGAACUGCAGUCAAGCAGGUAUCGCCCGCACUCUGCCCUCUGGCCCAUCUCUGCUGGGACACCUUCAGACAUUCCACACCCCUGAGCGGCUUCAAAAGGCUGCCAUUGGGAAAAAAUGCACCAAAGAGAUGUUUCCUUUUUUCCUUCAGAUGUGGAGCUUUUUCUGCACAUGUUCCUGUACACUUUUUCCUGGAUGUGUAAUAACAUCAGAGUCAUGAGCAAAAGAUACAGGGCCUGAUACAAAGCGCAUUGAAGUCAACGGGAGGCUUUGCAUUACCUUCAGUAGGCUUUGAUCAGGCCCAUUGUGCAAAGCCACAUUGCUCAUUAACGUGCAGUAUCGCCAUGGCUCUGGCUAGGUACUCAGGAGAAGAGAGACGUUUUGCAGAAAUCAUUGUCCGUCUCCAGUGAAGCUCAACAACUGGUGACCUUGUCUCUGUGAUGUUUGGUGUGGAAAUGUUGGCUGUUUGUUUUGCACCCUCCUCCUAUUUCACGUCUUGGUGAGCUUUGACCAAAAUGCCUGUUUUCACGCUGGAAACAGGCAAAAAUUCAUAUUUUGCAGCCAUCUCUGCUCAAUCCAUCCUAUUUUUUAAUUGAAAGUAGCCUUGUUUUCACUGGGAAAAGGGCCCAUUUUUUGAGCAAAUACUGUACAAAACAGUGAAGGGUUGUUUUUUUUGUGGAAGGGGGCCAAAAGGACCCAUUCUUGUCUUCACAAUGCAAUGCCAUAGGGUGGCAACAGCCUCACUAUGGCAACCUCUGCAUGUGGUGGGGCCUUGGGCUCCCUGUCUGCACCCAAGUGCGUGUCACUCCUGCAGUCUGGCCUACUUCUGUUCUCUAAGAAAUGACCCCUCCGAAGUGCCACACAUACAAAGUACAGUUUAUCCCGGCUCUGCUCUGUUUGUAAGGGACGCUUGAACAUGCUCUGGGGCUGAAACUUCGUUGCUGGGUGGGGGGCUAUGUCCCCAAUUCUUGUUUUACAUGGAUACUCAUUAAAGAAGAGGCUGUCUCCAGUGAAGACACAGCCACAGACCAAGGACUAUGCUAUGUGUAAACAGGUGUAGUGAAGGUGACCGGAAGGUAUGUCCACAGUGCAGAACUGCAGCAUAAAGACAAGAGCGGUGACUAAGCCUCCCAAUUAAUUGUCGCUUGGUCUGAGGAUUGUAACUGGCUGAGAUGUGGCGAGGAGAUUAUGCCUCCCACAGGUAGCGGAAGCUCACUUUGAAUGGGGGGUGGAGGGAUUGCAGGGGGAGCAGGAUGGGCGCUCUGCAUGGGGAGUAAGACUCAGUGCAGGGGGGCAGAGGAGGGUGGCCAGCUACAGGCUGGGAAGGGAGGUCCCAGAGGUUCGUGUCUCUUGCCAGCCACCAGGGAUAGCUGCUCCUGGUCCUGGCCCUAUCACUACAGUUCCUGUUUACUGUCCAGCCUGAUCCCAGGGGUGCGGCAGACACUCCAGGUCCCGCUCUUGCCUUCAUCUCCCCCCAGCCCCCACCAUGUGCAUGCAGUUUACAGAGAAGAUUGGUUCCCAGGAUGUGUAGCAGAAUGAUGUGUGUGGGCAGAAAUAUAGAUCAGCCCCCAUGUUUCCAUUGCUAGCCCCCACCGUCCCCUGGUUCUGAUGUCCCUGGUGCCUCGUCCUUCCUGGCGAUGGGCGCGAACACCCAGACACACAGGUUGGUGUGCACUUUCUGCACCGCCUUGUCCGCUCAGCUCAGCCCAGCCAACCAGCCUGUCAGAUUGAAUGAUAAAAUGUUCCAAGUAAUCCGCGAAGGCUCGUACAUUGUGCUGUUAACCUAGGGAAGGAAAAUUCCUUUGGUUUUAUGAAGUGCAUCUUACUGCCGGUUUAAAACGAGAACCGUUCGCUAGCUGGGCAAAGCGUAGCCAUUCCCAGGGAAGGAAUUAGCGCUUCCCCCUGCCUGGCCUGCUGGGGAGGGAGCCCCGGGUGGGGUGUGGAAGCAGGACGGCAACAUGCAAGGUUAGUUGCCAUGGCAAUGUCUAUAGAGCUGCUGUCUGGGCGGGGCCAACCAAAGCAACAGAUUCCAUGAGGAAAGCCAGAGCUGACCCGGCUCCCUGCCCAGCAUUGCACAAGGGAAGGGAACUGCUGUUUAAAACGAACCCUUUUUUUGGUCCUAGCUAAACUUUUCAGCUCUGUGAUGGAAUCGUGGGUUCGUCAGCCAGUGUCACCUCGUGUUUGUUGGGGAGGUGAACGUCUGAGGUGGGAGCAGAGUUCCCCUUUAGUCCUGGGUACCAGAAGCUGGAGUUUCAUGACCCAGCCAGCGCAGUCUGCACUGGGAGCAGCGUACCCUCAGACGGGGGUCUCCCUCGUGCUAUUUUCCACAUAAACUGUCUCUGUCAGUGAUGUAUAAAAGGAAGAAGAUUGGCUUCAGCCACUCGUACAGUACUUCAGCGUGUGUGUGCUCAGUGGAUGUCCAGUUCCUUCAGAGACCCUGCUAACUUGUAGCACCUAGAUGUAGACAAAGCCAGGCUCAUUCACAUCCGGUCUGGUGGCCACAAGUCGAGCUGGCAGGGACCAAACCCUUUUCUUCCAUGUACUGCAUAGAAAUCUGCCUUGGGAUUCGAGACCACUGUGGAAUGGCUGUACUAUUUACAACUGUGUCUGUGUGCGUGUGUGUGUAAUAAGUCCAUGCAAGUGUGGGGGGGGGGGGUUGAGUGCAUGUCUGUGUGGGUGUUCCAUACAUAAAUGUUAAAAACGAGAUUCUGUACAUGUUGGGAAUGUGUCUAAUACAAAUCUGUAAACUGGAAGCCAUGUUCUGUCAUCUGCCAAAUAUUUAAUAAAUUAGUCCCAUCCUUG